GACGAACCGUGCGAACGUUGUUCGGAUUCACUGGGCUUAAAGGGCGCGUAGGCGGGUUGUCAAGUCAGGGGUGAAAUACGGCAGCUCAACUGUCGCAGUGCCUUUGAUACUGAACGGCUUGAAUACCGUUGAAGAUGGCGGAAUGAGACAAGUAGCGGUGAAAUGCAUAGAUAUGACAUAGAACACCUAUUGCGAAGGCAGCUGACUACGGAAAUAUUGACGCUGGGGCACGAAAGCGUGGGGAUCAAACAGG
rnacentral:rRNA from 1 species